rnacentral:tRNA from 1 species
GCCUUCGUGGUGUAACUAACGGUAGCACACUCGACGCGCAUUCGAGAGGUUCAGGUUCGAGUCCCGUCGACGGCA